AACAGAACCAUCCCAGACUGUUUUGAAGAUCAAAAACUGAGUCUCAGAGUUGUCAUUAUUGUACAUGUUUUGUAUUUAGCAAAUUCUCAAUAAGAGCCGACCUUCUCACUGAACGCCACAAACAUCAGUGGACAAAUAGGCAAAGUGUAAUCCUGGUUGACUUCGUGGGAGAAGAUGCAUUAGAACUGCAGUCAGCGACUUCAUGGGGCAGCAUUGCAGUUAUUUUUCUUAUGGACGCCGAUAUCCUUCCGUUUGGUCAGUGAGACCCGCUUACUGCUGGCUCCCAAGUUGUUUCGACCUGGUCCAGUGGUUCAGCAGCUUCCUUGUUAAAUGAGACGCUUGUUCCAAAUUACCUAGACAGUCCUUACUGGAAGUGACCAGAAGCAGCAAUGAGACCCAUUCGUUGGUUUAUAUAACAAGUCUGCAUUGAGAACCUACUUUGUGGUAGAUUCUACGGUGGAAUACGAAGAUGAAUCAGACACUGUCACCACCCUCAAAGAAUUUGCAGUCCCCUGGAGAAGUUGAUGAAUACCAUGAUUUCUGGGCAAAAUAAAAGACAUGAAGCCUGUAAGUUCUAGCAGAAUUUCAAAGUAAUUGGUGGGCUUCCAGGAGGUGAUGUCUGAAAGUUUGAGCAGGGCUUGGACAUGAUGAGACAAGGGAAAGCAUUACCUUCUCUGCCUUUACAUCCACUCAGCAGAGCAUGAGGGAACAGCCAGAGCUCCUGUACCAGGAGCCUCCUCUUGCUCAAGCCAUCCCAAAUGCAAGACUGCCUCCAAGAAGGGGUUGUGGACCCCACCUGAGAGCUUUGGAUUUCUACUCUCACAAUUUGAGCAAGUAAACUAGCCUUUACAGGAAAAUGCAAAGUGCCACAGAGAAACCUUUUCUAUCCACGAUUCCCUCUCCAUGGGGACCUCUUUAAUAUUAAUCCUCACAAGAGAACUGAGUCAGAGGAGACAAACUUUGGUAUAAUUUUUCUACAGUCAAGUACAGAGAGGAGAAGUGGAGUUAUUUGGGGAAUUAUUCAGGUGAAAACCCAAACAAACAAACAACAACAAAACAACCCAGAAAAAGUAGCAUGGUUUAUUCAAGGACACGAAAUUAAAGAGCAAUUUUUCCAACCAAGGUAAAAGAAUCAUUUCAGAUCCUCAUGGGUGAAAGAGAAGGGCCAGAGUCCCAGAGGCCUGGCUGACUUGCCCCGCCCCCCCCCCCCCACACACAUACAAACGGACCCAGGGUUCUGCUGUGGGAGCUGCAGGGCCAGAGCACACUGAGGGGCAGAGGGAGCUGAAAUGCUGGAUGGGAAAGUGAAUUCCAAGUCAGUGUGCUGGGGGUUGGAGGGAAGGUAGUGACUCAAAACUCUGGGCCUCAAUGUCUAAAAAAGGUAAAAAUGUCAAGGACAAAGUGAAGGGAACAGAAGAAGGCUCACCUCUGCCUCCUUUCAGCUUUGAUGAUCUUUUCAUCGAGGAAGAACAUAAAGGAUCACCACCAUGAACUUGACGGAUGCCCGGUUACAAGAACCUGGCUUUCUCCCCUCUACUGACCUCCUGGGUUCCUCUGCUGAUGUGCUUUGAAGGACAGGAAGGAUGUUCAGACAGAGGGCCAGGUGUCUUUGGGACCCUGGAGUCCUACCUGUGCACAGCCUUGGGCAGGUCGUGUGUAAAGACAAGGUGGUCUAUAAAUUCUCCAUUUGCCUUAAAGCAAAGGUGUGGCUUCUAACUUCACUGAAUUUAACUGUAGAAAACUCUGACUCCCAGUCCCUAGCACUAUGAGAAAUAAACGCCGAUUUGAUCAUC